rnacentral:rRNA from 1 species
UAGGGAAUCUUCCGCAAUGGGCGAAAGCCUGACGGAGCAACGCCGCGUGAGUGAUGAAGGUCUUCGGAUCGUAAAACUCUGUUAUUAGGGAAGAACAAAUGUGUAAGUAACUAUGCACGUCUUGACGGUACCUAAUCAGACAGCCACGGCUAACUACGUGCCAGCAGCCGCGGUAAUACGUAGGUGGCAAGCGUUAUCCGGAAUUAUUGGGCGUAAAGCGCGCGUAGGCGGUUUUUUAAGUCUGAUGUGAAAGCCCACGGCUCAACCGUGGAGGGUCAUUGGAAACUGGAAAACUUGAGUGCAGAAGAGGAAAGUGGAAUUCCAUGUGUAGCGGUGAAAUGCGCAGAGAUAUGGAGGAACACCAGUGGCGAAGGCGACUUUCUGGUCUGUAACUGACGCUGAUGUGCGAAAGCGUGGGGAUCAAACAGG